UACGAAGGGGGCUAGCGUUGCUCGGAAUGACUGGGCGUAAAGGGCGCGUAGGCGGUUUGGUUAGUUAGGCGUGAAAUUCCUGGGCUCAACCUGGGGGCUGCGCUUAAUACAGCCAGACUAGAGUGCGAAAGAGGGUCGUGGAAUUCCCAGUGUAGAGGUGAAAUUCGUAGAUAUUGGGAAGAACACCGGUGGCGAAGGCGGCGACCUGGUUCAUUACUGACGCUGAGGCGCGAAAGCGUGGGGAGCAAACAGG
rnacentral:rRNA from 1 species